rnacentral:rRNA from 1 species
GACGAACCGUGCGAACGUUGUUCGGAUUCACUGGGCUUAAAGGGCGCGUAGGCGGCUUGCCAAGUCAGGGGUGAAAUCUUUCGGCUCAACCGGAAAACAGCCCCUGAUACUGGGCGGCUAGAGUCUGGUAGGGGGAUCUGGAAUUCCUGGUGUAGCGGUGGAAUGCGCAGAUAUCAGGAGGAACACCGGUGGCGAAGGCGGGAUCCUGGGCCAGUACUGACGCUGAGGAGCGAAAGCGUGGGGAGCGAACAGG